GCGAGUUCGUGGAUGCCACCUGGGGCGACCCGGUGCUUCUUCUCGCCGCCCGCUCCACGGCUCCACCGGUCUUCACUCUUCACCACCUCCGGUCGCAUCUCCGACGGCCUAGACGUCGCUUCUGCUCCGCCUCCGCCGGCCUCCGGCCGCCAGACGCCAAGUCGGCCGUCGCCCCUAACGUCAUCAGCCCCCUCCAGUUCCGAGGCAGUCACGACUUGCUGAAAGGCAGAAGAGAUUAAAUGUAAGAGCAAGCAAGGAUGAACUCCGGCAAGAAGUUUGGUGGCGGGCGUCCACCGACGGGAACUCCUUCGCUUGCAUUGUCUUCAGUUGUGAUUGUUGUCUCUCUCCUCGCUGGUGCCUCUAUCGUCCACAACAUUUACAAACCUGAUAUGACUAUUCCACCCGUGGAGAGUGUAAGCAGUGGCAGUGACAACAAUGAGAAGAGCUGAGUUAAAACAUCAAGUAUCACAAGCCUGAACGUGAAUUACCAUCUAUGAUAACGCACCGCUAACAAAAGAAAAUUUUCUUGGGAAAUUCAGCUAGAAGGCAGUUAAAUACAACUGCCAGAGUAAGUUUAAAUUCUACUACCUGUUCAUUUGAACCAUUGCUAGACGUGAAGGUCAUGCCUACAAGAACCGAAUCAGCAUUGUUUUGUACCAACUAGUCUUUAUAUUAUCCUUGCAUAGCUUCCUUCAACUGUUAAUACUGGAUCAAUCACAUUCUAGCUAUCUGAAUUCAGUAUCUGACUUCUUUUUUGUCUGAAGCAA